rnacentral:rRNA from 1 species
AUUGAACGCUGGCGGCAGGCCUAACACAUGCAAGUCGAACGAGUGGCGGACGGGUGAGUAAUGUCUGGGAAACUGCCUUAUGGAGGGGGCUAACUACUGGAAACGGUAGCUAAUACCGCAUACCAUCGGAUGUGCCCAGAUGGGAUUAGCUAGUGGGUGGGGGAAAGUCUCACCUAGGCGACGAUCCCUAGCUGGUCUGAGAGGGUGACAAGCCACACGGGAACGUGUACACGGUCCAGACUCCUACGGGAGGCAGCAGUGGGGAAUAUUGCACAAUGGGCGCAAGCCUGAUGCAGCCAUGCCGCGUGUGUGAAGAAGGCCUUCGGGUUGUAAAGCACUUUCAGCGGGGAGGCGUUACCCGCAGAAGAAGCACCGGCUAACUCCGUGCCAGCCGCCGCGGUAAUAC